AAAAAAGAAAAUGGGAGGUGGAAAGGACAAGCAUGAUAAAGACGGCAGCGACAAAGGAUUACAUGGACAUGGACAUGGACAUUCUGGAUAUUAUCCUCCAGCAGGGUACCCUCCCGCACCUGGGGCAUAUCCACCACAAGCUUAUCCCCCAGCACCUGGGGCAUAUCCACAACAAGGGUACCCUCCACAGGGAUACCCUCCACAGGGAUACCCUCCUGCUGCAUACCCACCAGCAGGAUAUCCUGGUUCAUCUGCUCCCCCACAUCAAGGUAUGGAUCAUCACCAAAAAUGUUAAGAUACGCUCCGUUCAGUAUUCAUCGUUAAUUGAUAUAAGCUCAAAGGUACCCAUGAUAAUCAUUUUACUUGCUGAUCCUUGUAAGGUAUGGAUCAUCACCAAAAAUGUUAAGCUACACUCCGUUCAUUAUUCAUCGUUAAUUGAUAUUAGCUCAAAGAUACCCAUGAUAAUCAUUUUACUUACUGAUCCUUGUACAAUAACUGGAUCUUUGACCUGCUGUUUUAAAAAGCAAUUGACUAGAGGAAAACUGGUGUUAUGUUCUUGUCGCAUAUGUUGCUUUUACUUGUUAAUGGCGUCUAUCAAAGCUUUUUUUUUUUUUUCUAACAUAACUAAAUUUCAAUUGGUAUAUUUCCUGUUGGUUUCUUUUCAUGUUUUGGAAUUUGAUACUAUAAAGCAAAUUCUCCUCGUGAACAAGUGAAUGUCACUAAUGAAUUUUAGAUUACACGCCAAGUAGUACGGCC
rnacentral:lncRNA from 1 species